AGUGGCUAAUAUUUGCACAUUAUUACACAAAAUAAUAAUAAUAAUAAAAUCUGCAAUUGUUUUAACUAAUUUCAAUUUCUCAGCUAAACUUAAUAUACAAAAUAUUUGUUAACAAAGCUACAUCUCUUCGAGAUCGAAGAUCCUGUCCUAUUGUGUACUGCAUCAUACCUUCAACUAUUUUGUAUUAUGGACAAGAAAUAACCAAAUAUCAUAUUGUGGAGAGCUCAGUGUGAGCAGAGACUGAAGGCAAAACCUUCUUCCCUCUGGUCAUACUAUGUCAUUGGUUUGAUUUCAAGAAGAAUAUGUGAGAGUGAGAGAACUUCGUCCUCCUCACCCGCUAAUUCUACAUUUCCUAAUAAUCUUGUUUGAAAGAUUUACAUGUCUAUUCCAUAUGUUUUGUACCUCUGGGAGCCCUAUCUCUAGCCAGGGCUUUGCAGGGCCACUAAAAUGUAAAACAGCAGCAGCUUCCAGUAUCUCUCUGCGACCUUCGGGGGGUCUAUAGCCUAGUCCAGCCAGAUGCCAUGUGGGAUCAAUUGGGUGCACUUGACCAUCAAAAGCAAGUAA
rnacentral:misc_RNA from 1 species